rnacentral:rRNA from 1 species
GACAGAGGGGGCGAGCGUUGUCCGGAGUCACUGGGCGUAAAGCGCGCGCAGGCGGCAACCUUAGUGUCGUGUGAAAGCCCCCGGCUCAACCGGGGGAGGCCAUGGCAAACUGGGUCGCUCGAGCUGCGGAGAGGCCCCUCGAAUUGCCGGUGUAGCGGUGAAAUGCGUAGAGAUCGGCAGGAAGACCAAGGGGGAAGCCAGGGGGCUGGCCGCAGGCUGACGCUGAGGCGCGAAAGCGUGGGGAGCAAACAGG